UACGUAGGGUGCAAGCGUUAAUCGGAAUUACUGGGCGUAAAGCGUGCGCAGGCGGUGAUGUAAGUCAGAUGUGAAAUCCCCGGGCUCAACCUGGGAACUGCAUUUGUGACUGCAUCGCUGGAGUGCGGCAGAGGGGGAUGGAAUUCCGCGUGUAGCAGUGAAAUGCGUAGAUAUGCGGAGGAACACCGAUGGCGAAGGCAAUCCCCUGGGCCUGCACUGACGCUCAUGCACGAAAGCGUGGGGAGCAAACAGG
rnacentral:rRNA from 1 species